rnacentral:rRNA from 1 species
AACGCACCUUGCGCUCCCUGGUAUUCCGGGGAGCACGCCUGUUCGAGUGUCGUGAAUACCUCAAGCCGGAUGCUUUAUUGCUAUCGCAGGCUUGGAUUUGGACUUUGCCGCAAGCCUUCAGUGGCGACGGCUGGUCUUAAAUGCAUUAGCUGACCCAUGUUUGUGCACUUGGUUCUACUCGGCGUGAUAAGUAUUAUGACCGUCGAGGACAUCUUCGCCCACAAAGCGAGGAUGGCCGAGAGUGCCUUGGAUCGCUUCUAAUCGUCUUCACGGACAACACUUUUCAACUUUGACCUCGAAUCAGGCGGGACUACCCGCUGAACUUAA